rnacentral:tRNA from 1 species
AUUUAAAUAGCUUAUAUAAAGAGCGUAAUAUUGAAGAUAUUAAGGAGAUAUUUAUUAUCUUUAGAUA